rnacentral:rRNA from 1 species
GAGGAAUAUUGGGCAAUGGGCGGAAGCCUGACCCAGCCAUGCCGCGUGCAGGAAGACGGUCCUAUGGAUUGUAAACUGCUUUUAUACGGGAAGAAACACUCCCUCGUGAGGGAGCUUGACGGUACCGUAAGAAUAAGGAUCGGCUAACUCCGUGCCAGCAGCCGCGGUAAUACGGAGGAUCCAAGCGUUAUCCGGAAUCAUUGGGUUUAAAGGGUCCGUAGGCGGCCUUAUAAGUCAGUGGUGAAAUCCCAUCGCUCAACGAUGGAACUGCCAUUGAUACUGUAGGGCUUGAAUUAUUGUGAAGUAACUAGAAUAUGUAGUGUAGCGGUGAAAUGCUUAGAUAUUACAUGGAAUACCAAUUGCGAAGGCAGGUUACUAACAAUAUAUUGACGCUGAUGGACGAAAGCGUGGGGAGCGAAC